rnacentral:rRNA from 1 species
AUUGAACGCUGGCGGCAGGCUUAACACAUGCAAGUCGAACGAGUGGCGGACGGGUGAGUAAUGCCUGGGAAUCUAGCUUAUGGAGGGGGAUAACUACGGGAAACGGUAGCUAAUACCGCGUACCAUAGGAUGAGCCCAAGUGGGAUUAGGUAGUAGGUGAGGUAAAGGCUCACCAAGCCGACGAUCCCUAGCUGGUCUGAGAGGAUGACCAGCCACACUGGGACUGAGACACGGUCCAGACUCCUACGGGAGGCAGCAGUGGGGAAUAUUGCGCAAUGGGCGCAACCCUGACGCAGCCAUGCCGCGUGAAUGAAGAAGGCCUUCGGGUUGUAAAGUUCUUUCGGUGGCGAGGCGUUACCUGCAGAAGAAGCACCGGCUAACUCCGUGCCAGCCGCCGCGGUAAUUC